CGUGAGGAACCUGCCUUGGAGAGGGGAAUAACACUCCGAAAGGAGUGCUAAUACCGCAUGAUGCAGUUGGGUCGCAUGGCUCUGACUGCCAAAGAUUUAUCGCUCUGAGAUGGCCUCGCGUCUGAUUAGCUAGUAGGCGGGGUAACGGCCCACCUAGGCGACGAUCAGUAGCCGGACUGAGAGGUUGAACGGCCACAUUGGGACUGAGACACGGCCCAG
rnacentral:rRNA from 1 species